UACAGAGGGUGCGAACGUUGCUCGGAAUUACUGGGCGUAAAGCGCAUGUAGGCGGAUCCAUAAGUCGGGCGUGAAAUCCCCGGGCUCAACCCGGGAACUGCGUCCGAUACUGGCAGGCUUGAAUCCGGGAGAGGGAUGUGGAAUUCCAGGUGUAGCGGUGAAACGCGUAGAUAUCUGGAGGAACACCGGUGGCGAAGGCGGCAUCCUGGACCGGCAUUGACGCUGAGGCGCGAAAGCCAGGGGAGCAAACGGG
rnacentral:rRNA from 1 species